UUUUGGUGCAGUAAUAUAUGUUUAAGAAACACCACUUUUAUUACUGCAGGUGUGAAGAUGAUGCGACUUUACAACUCGGGAGUAAAAGACGACGCGACAGCUCACGUCACCAUAAGUGCAUGCAUGUGGAUCACGCCAAGCAGAAGAAGACAGGCUUAAAGCAGUUCCUCCAUCACAGUGCCAUAUCGUCGCCGGAGGGCAACUCGAUCACUGUGCUGGAAACGGCGUCGUCUUCACGGCCGUGCAGUGGGUACGACACAGGGGGGAACUUGACCGUGUCGCUGCAGUUACUCUCCCUGCCGUUGGGGCAGCUGAUGAUCGAUCUCCCGUCGCUGGAGACGCAGACGCGGAUCUGGGAGAGGUAGUCGUUGUAGAUUAAAGGCCAGAGAAUGUAAUUCCUGGUGCACACCACCGUGAACGAGAACCCGAUCCUGGGCACCAACGCGUCGUUGAUGUCCUCCAGGCUGUAGCUCUUCGUCUCCGACGGGAUGAUGGCUUGAGAUCAGGAACAGAUCCAUGCGUUAGCUGCAGACACUUGUAAGCUCGAGGUCGGCAUGCAGGGCAGGGCUGCUUACCUUUGGAGCCGAGGGCAUGGAGGACGUCGGCUCGAGCCCGGAGCUGAAGCGCCCGGCCGAAGUAAUUCACCUCGCUAAGGCUGGUGCAGUUGCCGUAGGUACACCAGGCGGCCUUCCACACCUGCUUCCCGUUCUGGGCUGGGCAGCUCAAGCUGGGCCAGUAGGCGUUCAAGUCGUUCAUCAGAUCGUUAAGCUGUGGCAUGCGCAGAGUGAUCAGUGUGGGUCGGGAGCAGCGGAGAUCAUCGACUGCAUAGAUCCAAUCAGGCCUAUUACCGGGUUCAACAAGAAGCGGCAGCUGGGUUCGCAGUUGGCGACGAGCUUGCCGGUGGCGCUGUCGUAGGUCUCCAUGGUCUCCACCAGGAAGUCUGGCUCGGGGUUUUCGAUGAGCGGGUCAACGCAGCAGGUCGGCUGCCAGAACCACCCUGGCUGGCAGCGAGUCCCCGGCCACUGCAGGAGUCACGAUCCGUUAGACUUCAUUAACAGUUUACCGUACAAGAAAGGCUUUCUGUAAAGCCGAGAGAGAGAGAGAGAGAGAGGAAUAGGUACUAUGAGAGACAGGAUCAUGUAGUCGUAUGAAGCAGCUGCUAGCGCACAAGAGGCGGCGCACAAGAGGAAGCAGAACGUGGGAAGAGCCUUUGAGCCAGCCAUUCUGCAGAGGUGGAGAGGAUGAUCGGGGGAGAGACGCUUCGUGAGGUGAUGAGUCUGAUGGCUCUAUAUAAGCACUACAUUGAAGACACACCCACCUACUGAUAAUUGUUGGACUAAUAAUGCACCGCGAUUGCUGUUAGGGGGGUCUUAAAAUAAUGCACUUCGCAUAAAAUGUCGUACACCAACAUGAAACAUGAGGGACAUUCCCGCAUAUCGCAAGCAUAGUGGGUUGCAAAAUGCAAGGAAAGAAAGUAAGGAAUUUAUUUGAUUAUGGUCUCUCAUAGCUAUAAGAUUAUGGUCUCUCGUAGCUAUAUGGACUAUGUGACAUCGUCAAACCACGAUGUCACCUCCACCCUCCACCCCACCAGCCACUGGACCCUUUCCAUACAUUACAAUCAUUAAUCUUGAUGGAGGUGAACGAGAGAUAAUCAUAAGUAUUUUUCCUCUCUUCUCUUUUGUAUGACUCAUCGUAUUAGAUAUUAUCGUACGCUUCACGCACAUAUUGUUUUACUCACCUGAUCGAGCAACGAUAAUAGUGUGAUAGAAGCGAGCAAGGGAUACUCCUUCGACUAAGGGGCUUGAAAUCUAAGAGAUAGAAAAGGGAUUGAGGAUAAAGACACGAGCAAGAGAUAAUAUAAUUUUAUGACGAAUAAGAGUUAAAGAGUAAGAUGAGAAUGACUAUAUGAUGCGAAUAAAACAAAAAAGUGACAUUAGUAGAAUAAAAAGUAAAAAANNNNNNNNNNNNNNNNNNNNNNNNNNNNNNNNNNNNNNNNNNNNNNNNNNNNNNNNNNNNNNNNNNNNNNNNNNNNNNNNNNNNNNNNNNNNNNNNNNNNCGUGUUAUUAUCUAUCGGCAAACAAUUGACUUGAUAAUUGAUAAGGCAUAUAUUUAGGAUCUCGGCCACGUCGCGAUCCACGCCACGUCACACUCCUGCAGAUUCAACACAAGGGUUGCCUUCCUUCCACGUCGAGUUGGAGCUCGUAUAGGGAGGCACCCUCUCAACAAGUCCCUUCCCAGAAAGCUUGGGACGUUGUCCCAUGGCGUCGUUCCGCGCAUACCGGGUGACGAUUACACGAAGGUACGAUCUUGGGGGUAUCGAUCGUCAAGUCAAAUCCGCGUAUAAUCGAUCCUCGGACAAUAGUAUAAAAUCCCUUGACCGGCAUCUGGCUAGGAGACAAAGAACAGAAGAAAAAAAUCACUGACUUAGUCUACGAUGGGCCAAAGUCGGGAAUCUCCAGACCAGGGCGUGUGUGCAGGAACGUGGCCACCCCCGAACUAGCUCAAUCCCUCAUUGGAGAUGCGACCAUCCUGGCCGUUGAUCCAGACGCGACCAUCCCGACCCCUGAUCCAACUCGGCCUCGAUGCUUCUUCCAAUCGAUCGAGAGGCGCACUCCCGAACGUCGAAAACUCUGGACAUCGACAUGUGAACCAAAACGUGCCGACUCCUCGACCACGGCACGUAAGUUCACCAACAAAAAUAACGACGCAUUGUUGAAACAUUGAUUAUAAUCAAAGAAGAACGUUCUCAAAAUUAUUUUAAAAAAUAUUUUAUUUCUACCUAAUUAGUCAAUUAUUUAAAAUUUUUUUGAUGAUCAAUUCAUUUUCACUAACUCAGUAAAAUAUAAUAUUUGAAGAAAAUUAUACUGAAGAUAGAAUGUAAUAAAUGUAAUUAUAUAUAUAUAAUUAAUAUUUUUAAAAUAUAUUAAAUCGGAUAAUUUUACGGAAUAAGGUUUUGAGUCGUUCGAUGUAUGACUCUGUUAUAUCAAUAUAAGAUGAUAUUUUAGAUAUUAAAAAUAUAUACGAGACAACAUUUUGGUGCAGUUAUAUAUGUUUAAGAAAGACCACUUUUAUUACUGCAGGUGUGAAGAAGAUGCGACUCUACAACUCGGGAGUAAAAGACGAAGCGACAGCUCACAUCACCAUAAGUGCAAGCAUGUGGAUCACGCCAAGCAGAAGAAGACAGGCUUAAAGCAGUUCCUCCAUCACAGUGCCAUCUCGUCGCCGGAGGGCAACUCGAUCACUGUCUUGGAAACGGCGUCGUCUUCACGGCCUUGCAGUGGGUACGACACAGGGGGGAACUUGACCGUGUCGCCGCAGUUACUCUCCCUGCCGUUGGGGCAGCCGAUGAUCGACCUCCCGUCGCUGGAGACGCAGACGCGGAUCUGGUAGAGGUAGUCUUCGUAGAAGAAAGGCCAGAGAAUGUAAUUCCUGGUGCACACCACCGUGAACGAGAACCCGAUCCUGGGCACCAACGCGUCGUUGAUGUCGUCCAGGCUGUAGCUCUUCGUCGCGUGCGGUAUGAUCCCACUCGAGCCCAGGUUGACGAGGGGGUCCACCUUCUUCCUGAGUUGAAGCGCCCGGUCGAAGUAGAGCGACUGGUUGAGGCUGGAGCAAGUGCCGUAGGUGCACCACACGUCCUUCCAGUGGGGCAUCCCGCUGUUGCUGGGACAGGUCAGGUUGGCGUAGUACGUGUACAAGUUGUCGAGCAUGUUCACCAGC
rnacentral:lncRNA from 1 species